AUAGGAAUCACAUGAGGACCUUAUUAAACUGCAGAUUCUGGUUCAGGAGGUCUGGGGGUGGGCCUGCAGGUCUAGCAAGUUCCCAGGUGCUGCUGCU
rnacentral:pre_miRNA from 1 species